rnacentral:rRNA from 1 species
CAGUAGCCACGGGAAAACGUAGGGUGCGAGCGUUAAUCGGAAUUACUGGGCGUAAAGCGUGCGCAGGCGGUUCGUUAAGACAGAUGUGAAAUCCCCGGGCUUAACCUGGGAAUGGCAAUGGAUACUGGCGAGCUAGAGUGUGUCAGAGGAUGGUGGAAUUCCCGGUGUAGCGGUGAAAUGCGUAGAGAUCGGGAGGAACAUCAGUGGCGAAGGCGGCCAUCUGGGACAACACUGACGCUGAGGCACGAAAGCGUGGGGAGCAAACAGGAUUAGAUACCCCAGUAGUCCCUGUCUCUUAUAC